rnacentral:rRNA from 1 species
UACGUAGGGGGCUAGCGUUGUCCGGAUUUAUUGGGCGUAAAGAGCGUGUAGGCGGCCAGGUAGGUCUGCUGUGAAAACUCGAGGCUCAACCUCGAGACGUCGGCGGAAACCAUCUGGCUAGAGUCCGGAAGAGGAGAGUGGAAUUCCUGGUGUAGCGGUGAAAUGCGUAGAUAUGUGGAGGAACACCGAUGGCGAAGGCAGCCCCCUGGGAUGUGACUGACGCUCAUGUACGAAAGCGUGGGGAGCAAACAGG